UACGUAGGGUGCGAGCGUUAAUCGGAAUUACUGGGCGUAAAGCGUGCGCAGGCGGCUUUGUAAGUCAGAUGUGAAAUCCCCGGGCUUAACCUGGGAACUGCGUUUGAAACUACAAGGCUAGAGUGUGGCAGAGGGGGGUGGAAUUCCACGUGUAGCAGUGAAAUGCGUAGAGAUGUGGAGGAACACCGAUGGCGAAGGCAGCCCCCUGGGUUAACACUGACGCUCAGGCACGAAAGCGUGGGGAGCAAACAGG
rnacentral:rRNA from 1 species